CAUAAAUUCCUGGUGAUUUUUAAUUUAUAACAUUGCAUAAACAUCAUUAGAAUAACCAUAAUAUAGAAAAUGCACUGAAUAAAAGAAACUGACGUGAAGAACUUUAAUUUUGGCCCAGUAACCCGCCGCUAUCCUUUAUUUAAUCGGCCCAUCAUGAAAAACUUAAAGGGAAAAUAUCCUGAUGGGUCAAGACAACAUGGGCCUCAAUCCGAGGAAAAGAAUCGGCCCGUUAGUCACCCGAAGGCCCAGCAGCUGUCGUUGGCUGAUCUCAGCCGUUCGAUUCAACCGACGAUCGGGAUCGUCCGUAGCUUGAACAAAACAGCCGCCCGUCAAAACCCUAGCUCCAUUUGCCCCCUUUCCUCCCCCGAAAUGAAUGGAGUGGCCACGCAGAGGCGACCCCGGUGGCGGGCCAAGCUCGCCGGCCAUGGCGGCGCGGUAGCUGCCCUCGCCGGUGAAGCGUGCAAUGGACUGAGUUCCGCGCGCUCUUUCGGCAAGCGUGGCUCCAGCGUCGCGCACAUGGCGAGCAGGGCGGUUGACUGGAUGAGCAUUUCGCCGGCAGAGCUGCCAGCGCAAAACAUGAAGGCGAUGGCGACGUACGAGGCGCGGCCCUCGCAAGGCGCCCGUCCACCAGUUCGUCGACGGCAACGUGCGAGGCACGACCCUCGCAAGGCGCGCGUCCAUUAGUGUGUCGACGACGGCUCCUUCCCGUGCGUCGUCCCGAGGGACGGUGGCUUUGCCGCCGUCGGGAUCCCGAAGGAGAGCACGGUCGCGUCCUCAUUAAGCUGCCAUGAGUCUCCAGAGAUGUGGAGUCCUUCCGAUGAGAAAAGCAGCAGCAAGGUAUAUGGCAGCAGGGAUGCAGCAGCGCCGCAGUCGAAGAGGAAGCCCAUGGAUGCCGGCAGCACUCCUUUCCUGGUGGCCGCCGGUAGAUGUCGGUCUUCCAGCCCCUAGCACAACUUUAGGAUCGGGCAGUUUGGUCGAUAGCCACGGUUUCUGUUAGCCUCUCUUAUGUGCUAUCCUUUUCUUUCUUUCUUUUAUAUCAAGUGUUGGGGCCGGGGACUGGGUCCAAAGUUGUUGGUUUAGAGGCCUCCGAUCAAGGCUCCUACGUGAAAGGUGUGGGGUGAAAAACCUCCUGGUUUCUCUCGGGUUGUUACCUGAGAUCAAAUUCCAACAACAAUAUCAACAUCAAAUUGAGACA